AUCAGAGUUUUUGAGCAACUGUAUCUACAGCCCCAAGAUGGCAGUGUUUUCAAUGGCCCUGACUGUAGGUAUGAUUGUGUAUAGGAGGGGCAUGUGGUCUCUGAUUGGCUGAUCGCAUACCUUGAGAAUCUCGUUGUUUAGUGUUAAAAAAAAAAUGUUGAAUAGACCAGUCAGCUUUUGGGGGUAGCCCUGUGCAGAAGAGGAUGGAGAAGCAUCUGUGGACUUCUUUGGUGGUUUUGGGGCUUCAUUUUUGCCGGGUGAGUGGCAAAAACCAAGUGGAACAGAAUCCUCCAUCUCUGAUCACCCUGGAGGGGAAGAACUGCACAAUUCAAUGCAACUAUACAGUGAACCCCUUUGGCAGCUUAAGGUGGUACAAGCACAGCACGGGGACAGGUCCUGCUUCUCUGAUAGGCAUGACUUACAGUGACAGCAAAAAGUCAUAUGGAAGCUACACAGUGACUCUGGAUGCAAACUCCAAGCAGAGCUCCUUGCACAUCACAGCUGCCCAGCUUAGUGAUUCAGCCUCCUACAUCUGUGUGGUGAGCGCACUGUGUUCCCUGAGCACUUGAAUCCAGUACCCAAACCUGCACCUGCAGGUUGUCAAGAGGCUUAGGAAGUGAAGUAGAAUGUUGUUUUUCAUAUAGUAUAUACUUUCACAAGUGAGCUGAUACUUCUUUCUUACAUAUGAUUGAGUUUGAACUUAAGCUGAGAUGUCUACAUGUCAUAAAGUCAUCCUCAUUCAAGACAUAAGGUUAACUGCUGCAUCUGGCUAUUCCCAAAGAGUUGAGCAGUUCAUAUUCAAUGGAGCCGAGUGCUUCAUUCCUGAGUCUCCAGGAGAAAAUACCUACCAUUUUUUAUUGUACAACUUCCAUUGGUUCAAGAAGAAUUCUGGAAAAGGAUUUGUAUCUUUAACUUUAAUUCAAUCAAGCCAGAAAGAGUAUGCAGACAAAAAUUUUAAAGAACUGUUUGAAAAGAGAAGUUGUAUAGAGUUUUGCACAUCCCAGCCUGUCAUCCUGGAAAUUUGGCCAUCUACUUUUGUGCUUCCUGGCCUAGUGUUCUCUGAGCACCUGCAGUCCUACCACAACCCAGCAGCUGGGCUUCUUGAUACAGGUGGGUGGGAGUGAGUAUGUUUUAUUUAUUUAUGGAGGGAGUUUUCUAUAUAAUUUUUGUCUCCAAAUAGAAAUGAAGGAUAAUAUGCCAUCUCCCUUAUGUGAUGAAUCUGAAUUAAUAUUGACUUCAAUUUCCUUUGGUUGCUAUUGAAAUUUCAUUGCUCACUGCAGAUUGUACUGAUCUUGGACCUGCUUACCCACAGAGUCCCCUCCACUGCUGUCACUCGCCCUUUGUGGCUCAGGGUGUCAGUCCUUGAAGCAAGGUUUCAUCAAGUGGUAGCCUCACUAGCAGCAUCUUACUCAUUUGUUUAUAAUCUUCACAACAUUUC
rnacentral:lncRNA from 1 species